rnacentral:misc_RNA from 1 species
AAAAGAGACUGGGCCUGCUGGCCCUCGACUUCAUUCGUGCUUCUGCGCCGCGCCCGCCACCAUCUCUCGCGACACGCACGCGAGGGGGCUCCUUUGCGCACAUCGCGCGGAAGGCGUACACGCCGAAAAGCAUAAUGUAGUCACAGCGCUUCGGCGGCUUUCAUGUGGAUACGCAGUCAUUGACACUUCUUCGGAAAUCCGCACGCGCGCACAGCCCACAUGCGCAGCGGUCGCGCGCGCGCCAGCAUAUCACUCCCUGGCAGCUGCUGCGGGUGGGCUCUCCGGAUGAGGAGAGACUAGCGGCACGCAGGCAGCACCUCUCUCGUUUUUUUUUGAUUUGCUGCCAGGCUCCCCUAAUCGCUACUGGCGGAUGGUGCGGCACAGACAGACGCCAAAUCAGCAGCACCCGCGAUGCUGUACGCUAAUAAUACACCCAUAGGCACGGCUGCGAAAUGCUGCGGCCUCCGUGCUAGCAGCGACGGCGCCGAGGGCGAGGCAGUGGAGCUGGGGCUGGACAUGCUUCGAAGGCAACUGGAGCAACCAAGGCACGGGAAAACAAGUGUGGGCGUUGCCACGGACUCGCUCUCCUUGCUCAUGGCGCUCGGCGCGGGCCCUACAAGAGUGACAGAUGGCAUGCUGCGAUGCAUUGGGGCACAGGUGCCGGCGCUACUGUAGCCCGUCGCGUGCGUCUCUCACUUGAGUUUGUCUUUGGCCGCUGUGAGUUGGAGCGCAAGGCCGAAUCUGGCAGGCUUGUGUGAAUUGGCAGUGGCAGAGGCGCCGGCGCCAGCUGCAUGGAUUACUAACGGGCCUGGUGGUCACUGGCCGCAGACGCCAGGUCCAACAUCCCCCGAAACCGCGCACCACGCGAUGUGGCCCGCGACGGCAGGCCACCCUCCUCGCCCGGCUGCGCACAUCCACCUGUCCGCACUUUGGAUUCCUGCAGCGACAAGAUGGCGCGCAGACGGUGUGCCGCCCACCAACUCUUCUAGCGCUGUGGUGCCCCCAACCCCGUCAGCGCCUCGAUCCCCACCCGCUUUCUGCGGUGAGGGCGGCCGAUCCGGCACUGUGCCGGGCAUGCGACGCGAGACUCGCGGGUUGCUCGAGGCGCAAGGCGCACCUCGUUCCACGCUACGAUGCUGCGCGCACCGGUGUGAUGACGCACAUGCUAGUUGCGCCGCAUGGCCUUUCCGCGCCGUGUGUGUGUGUGUGUGUGUGUGUGUGUCUGUGGCUGCCCCCCUGUGCGCAGAUACAUGCUUGUCUGUUGGCCCCUGCUGCCACAGACCCAUGGCAGCGUCCCCCCGUCGCGGCGCAUGUGGGCCAACCCAUUCCGACUCGCCGCCACGACAUCGACGGAGAUGGAGGAGGAUGCCCGCCACCCGGACAGCUGCGUCGUGCCCUGAGGCAGGCCACAGGACCUCGAAAAGGCGAGAGCGCACGGUGCGCAGGCGCUGCCAUGCACAGCUGGCAUGGGUGUGCCGCAUCCAUGCAAGGCGUGCGGUUGUCCGAUGCGCAAGAGUGAUGGGCGAAAAAGGGCGCGAAGGGCACCAUACGAAUCGGCGCCAGGGCGCAUGUGUGCGCAGAGCAUGCGGCGUCUCCUGCGUCCGACGCGGUGGGCUGAUAUGAGGGCACGGGUGCCGGAAGCAUGGCAUACGGCCGGGUUGCAGAGGCUCUGAAGGGCUCUCACCGGAGGCUGGCCGACUUGUUCCUCGAGCUCAUUCGGCACGCGUCUGGCCCACCACCACCACCACCUCUUCUACCCCGCAGGGCAGCUCGUUCUCGGCGACCAGGAGAUGUCGCCGCCGUGCGGCCAGAGGGUUGGGGCGCUGUGGUUGCGGAGGCGUGUAUACACUGUUGCAGACGUGUUCGUGGUGAGAUGGGCACGUCGGAAAACAAAAGACAAUGUGUUUUAUCCUUUUUAGUGUGUCGCGCUCUGAUGACCUUUGUUUGACUUCACUCUCCGUCACACUCUCUGCCCCCCCCCCUUUUUUCCGCUCCUGUGUGUGCAAAGGCCCUAAAGGAAAAGGAGAGAAGAAUGCGGGUAGGCUCGCCGCAGAAUAGGAGGAGCCGCCGCUAUGUCGGCGGCACUGAAUGAGAACGUCUAUCGUCACCUGUGGUGCUUCUUAGGGGUCUCGCGUUCGCUACGGUGCGGCUGGAGGUCCCGCUGUCUCUCUGUUUGUGCGUGUCGUGCAGCACAUGUACCUUCUCCCCGGGGCCCACUACUUUUUUUCCGGCAGAGGUGACCUUCUGCCCAUGCAUCAGCUCCAUCGUCUCUUCUCCAGACGUUUUGAACUGCUCAGACGCCCCUCCUUCUCGUUGGUUCUCGUCUCGUGUUCGCCACCGUGGUGCCUCCCCUCUUGUCCCGGUUGCGCGUGCCUCAUCAUGGCCUUUUUUUUUUGCCUGUCUUAG